AGAAUCAACGCUGGCGGCGUGCCUAACACAUGCAAGUCGCACGAGAAAGGGGAGCAAUCCCUGAGUAAAGUGGCGCACGGGUGAGUAACACGUGACUAACCUACCCUUGAGUGGGGGAUAACCUAGAGAAAUCUGGGCUAAUACCGCAUAAUACCUUCGGGUCAAAGGAGCAAUUCGCUUAAGGAGGGGGUCGCGGCCGAUUAGUUAGUUGGCGGGGUAAUGGCCCACCAAGACUGUGAUCGGUAUCCGGCCUGAGAGGGCGCACGGACACACUGGAACUGGAACACGGUCCAGACUCCUACGGGAGGCAGCAGUGGGGAAUUUGCGCAAUGGGGGAAACCCUGACGCAGCAACGCCGCGUGGAGGAUGAAGCCCCUUGGGGCGUAAACUCCUUUCGAUCGGGAAGAUAAUGACGGUACCGAGAGAAGAAGCCCCGGCUAACUUCGUGCCAGCAGCCGC
rnacentral:rRNA from 1 species